CGUCCGCCGGAUGCACUUUUACUUUCGACAUGGUGAACAUUAUUUUUCAACAGUUAUUUUUGAUGGUUUUUUUUUUACGAAAUGUAUGUUUCGUAAAAUAAACUUUUACACGGCGCUCUCGUUUCGUGCGAGCUGUAGAAUAAUCGAUAAUCUCUCAUGAGGGAAGAAAAACAAUGUACGUCUGCCCGUCCUGUUUCAUCUUUCACAACAUCCAGCCAUACACCACCGGACCGAUUGCUGUUACUCGGAUCGGACGCGCUUAUAUUUAAUACCUGGAGACACGAACGAACGGAAAUAUCUAAUUAAUUAUUGCUCCCGAUGUAAAGCAUUUAUUUGAAAGCAAUUAAUUAAAGGUAGCACAAAUGAAUGACGCGUAACCUAUAUUUUCAAACGGGGUGGCAAUUCUAACGGCUGUAUCAUUAUCAUUCUCUUAACCUGGAUUAAUUAUUUUUACGAUUGCAUCGAUUUAUCGCGUAUAUCGCCGUCUCGCCCACGUUUCGUUUAUAUUUGGCGUCGCUAAAUAAUUCAUACUACGGCCGCGUUUCACGCGAACGCGCGUCUGUGUUUAUCGCGUUCGAGGCCCCUUACGUUACGUCGUUCUAUUCCGCGGGCUCUCUCUCUCUCGGCUCCUUAACAACUAAUAAAAAUGAUAAGAUCAUCCCAGCGCUGUCGCGCUGUACAAUUCGAUUCUCGAUCGAACGCGAAAUGCACCGUCGUGGCGGCGCCGUCGAGAGCGAUUUCGUCCUCUCGUCGCCCACGCCGUCUCUUAUCCACGUGACGACGAAUCGCGGGAUUCGCCCCCGUCGCGAGGCAGGACAUUCCAGUCAGAUACAUCCCUCUUCUUUCCUCUCGGAGGGACAUACAUCUCGUAUAUCGCGCGGAUAACAAACCAAUAUCCCACCUACGUGCGCAGCGGGGGAUAGUGGUGUGUGUUGGUGGUACGGUGAUACCGGUCUCGUCCAUCCCGCGUCUCGCAUGCGACUCGAGAGAGAUACGUGCGAAACUAAGAGAAACUACGGCCGUUCCGUCCGUGUAUAUCUAGCCGGAGAUAUAUACCGUGCCGUCGCGAGGCCUUUUCCCUCAGGAUCCCCAGCGUCGUAACGCGUCGUACAUUCACCGCCAGCAUCGGCGGCGUUGCGGCCGUGGUACGCGCGCAGGGAAGAGGGGGAAGAAAGAGGAGGAGGAGGAGGAGGAGAACGGCGAGAGUGGACGGGACAGCGGGGUGCGCCGGGACGAACGGACGGACGGACGGACGGUCGGUCGGAGGAAAGCCACGGGGGUUGCGCGUUAGCCCGGUUCGGAUAUACCGCCGCGAGCGGCAUGGUCGACGUGCGCGCGCGCGCGCGUGUAGCGAAGGGCGUCGCGGGGGUGUAGGGACGGCGGGGCGAGCGGGCAUACAAGGGAGAGGGUGGUCGGAGCAGGACGAGGUGCGGCGAGGGUGGAGCGGAAGGUCCGGACGAGAGCGAGAGAAGAGAGGAGAAAGAGAACCAGGAGGGUCGUAGCGAAACGAGCGAGUCGUUUGGGGUUGGGAGUGGCGGCGGCGGCAGCGCGCGGCGCGGGACGGAGCGAGGAGAGGGUAGAGGGAGAGGGGGGGGGACGGGACGGGAGAGCGGGUAGUUGCCCGUCGUGGGGCACGACGCCGGCCGAGAACGCGCAGCCGGUGGAUCAAUACACCCCUCCGCGGUGUUCUUCUCGCCGCACGAUUCUCGGCGCCGCCGCUCGCUCGGUCAUGUCGGCUUCGGUCGGCCCGCGUAUUUCCCUCCUCCGUCGUGGAAGCCGCGUCUUACGACGCUGCCGCCGCGUGCUACUCUCUCUCUCUCUUCGCGUUCUCUUCCGUCGCCUCUCCGCUUCAUCUCUCCCUUCGCUUUCUUUACAAAUGGGGGGAGGGGGGGCAUCGUGAUUAUUAAACUCUUCCCUUUCAUCAUUUUUUUUUCGGUCUCUUUCCGCCUCUCGCUCUCUCGCGUCUCGCUUUCAUUAGCGCUCGUCGCCGUGGCGGUGCUCGGAAAAUUCUCCCGGACGAUUUUUUUUUUAUCGCGAGUAAACUUUUUCGGGCUGACCGUGAAAAAGGUCUCGACGCGGGUCGAGGAAUGACGGGUCUGGGACGCGAUAUAUCGUACGCGCGCCUCCCUUCGCGAUUCAUCGCGUCGAGCGGCGCGCGUCCCCGUCCCUCAGCAUUCGCGUAGCACUCGUCGUUUCCUUGGAAAUCGGAAUUUUUCCGACGUUGCGAUAUCUUCGGAUUGUCACCCGUUUUGCUCCAAAGGGAAAAAAUCGAUCAAUGGAACAUCCGCUGCGCAUUCCGUUCGUCCAUACGCACGUAUCGAAUCACGGAGGCGGGAUAUCUCUCGACGGGACAAAUGGAACAAAAGCUCUAAAGCGGGGGGGGGGAAAAAAAAUCCCGCGAGUCGUAUAAUUAGAUUCACGCCGGGACACAAUACACGUAUUGUCUUCGUCAACAAACGAGCCGAUAUCGAUUCUUUGAACUUUCCCCAAUUUUCAAGCUAUUUUUGGAUGGACUGUGCCCGUCUGUUUGCGUAUGUAUCUUCUUCACACGUCGGACCCGCUGCCCGCGUUCACGCGGAUAUCCAAAAUUGUGUGAGAAAUAAUUCCGCGCGCUGCAGAUUUAAUUUUCUCGCCCGGUGUGCGUCGUGCGCUCUGCGGUUAUCGAGCCAUCGCCGCGAAAUCGAAAUAUCACCGCGUAAACUGAGAUUUAAAAAACCGUUUGAUGUGGUUCGAGUGGACGAUUGGACAAUCGGUCCGCGUGAUACGGCUCGUCGGCUUUAAUCGAAUCGCAUCGUCAUCGAGGGGGAAAAAAAAUACUCACCGGUAGGUACAUCGUUUCCGCGACAAUAUGAAUGGUGAUCGUUCGAUGGGGCAAUCAAACGUGCAUUAUCAAAUUCGAAUGUUCGUAGAGCAACGCGAGUCGAGCAUUCUCCUCCUUUCUUCCGAUGACCUCGAUCGUCUUACGUUACGACGGCGAGAACAGGGGUGUCAGGUGAAGAAGUGAGUGAAAGAGAGAGGAAAAGAAAGAAAAAACAAAGGGAAAAGAAAGACAGAAGAGAGAAGGGUAGCAAAAGGGAGAGGAAGAGAAGUAAUGACGGAAAGAGAGGGGGUAAAAAACAAAGAGAGAGGGAGGGAGCGGAGGAAAGAGUUGGAUGGCAGAGGGGUGGCGAGACUGGUGUAGUGAGAUCGUGUGUAGUUUUAGUAUUUUCAGUAUCGCUAGACAUCCCUAGUACCAAGCAGCAGUCUCCGCGUCCGCCCCCAGCAACGUCGAGGGGUCGUACACGGUCCCCCUCUCGCGCUGGCGCUACUCUUCCGCGCCCUGAGCCCCCUGUAUCCCUCACCCUAUCGCACGUACGCACGCAGACAGACACGCGCGAGCGCUUUCUCACCCUCCCGCGCAUGCGUGCGCACAUAUACGCGAGCGCGGAGGAUCAUAUCGAAGACGAAGAGGGUGAGUUUCCCUCGCGGUGGGAGAGGCUCGAAGGUAGAAGAGCCCCAGUCCUAGUGGGGAGGGGGGUGAGGCGGGUGGGUGGUCGGGGAGAGGGUGCGGAGGCGCCGCCGCCACCGAGCGACGCAGUGCCGUCGGGACGCUCGACCGAAUGAUACGGCCUUCGCAAAGGGAAGACGAAGAAGUGUUCUCGCCCGCGAACGACCAAACGAAUAGUGGCCGGACGCUUCGCUAUUCCCUUUGGGGUUUGACUAGCUGUCGCAUUAGCCGGGUAAGGCGUGUCAACGGGUCGAAAGAGCAACAAGCCCCUAUCAACAAGACUGCUCCGCGUCGAGUCACGUUGAUAAAACUACUGAGGUUGGAUUUCGCAUGGUUGCUAGUGGUGAUGCGGUGGUGGUCGUGCGCUCGCCGUGGGGAGGGACACAAGUGUGGGGAAUACGAACGGAGGACCGGUGGACGUUGGGGUGGGUUUGUCGUGCAACCCUCCCGGUCCCCGCGCAGGUGACUCAGGGCACCGCCGCCAGGCGGCAGCACUGCCUCCGACCGAAGAGAAACGCAACUCGAAGCGGCACCAGGAAACGAAUUGCCGCUUACGCUGGCAGAGGGUUACUCGCGGGGCGAUCCACGGAUGUCCCUUGGCAAAGAGAGAGAAAGAGAGAGAGCAUAAUCCACCAAAGGAAGAGAAAGAAAAGAUGCGGGGAGAAAGCUCGGAGUGCCUUGCCAGCGCGGAGGAACGUGGUCCACGGGAAAAAAGAGGGAGAGAAGGGGAAAGGACUCGCCAUGUUUAAAUCCCCGUGAGAGUCUUUAGCUAGAGAAUCCUAUAAGUGUGUAGAGCAUAGAGUAUACACUAUCUGGCACUCGCAGAGAUGUGUUGUGUAGUUUUUUUAGUGUAUUACUGUUAUUAUUAUUAUUAGAUAUUUCCGCUGUAAGAGUCUGUACGAUCUUGAAUAAAUUAUAUCGAUAUCGGAAUUUCUGUUGCUUAUUGAGCGCUUCAACUGGUCGCUCCAAUUCCGCUUUCGAUCGUACUUUAUCGAAUAUUCGUUGUAUGCUAAACUCCAUUCGCCAAUUAAAUGAACUUGAUUCGUCGCUAGAGAUAAUCACUCGCUUCGAGUUGCAGCUAGAAUUUUCUUUGACUGAAUGUAGGUAACUUUAAAACUGUACGAAAAGAAGUGUCCAUGUAUACGUUUCUCUGAUACUACGACUCGAGAAUUUAUGUGGAAUGUUAGUAACGCAUAUAUCGGAAAUAGUUGUGAAAUAUAAAAUAUGUCAGCAACGAACGAAUACGACAAUGGACGUAUAAACAAAGUAAAUAUAUCAUUAGAAUAAUAUUUUCCCGAGCAAUUUGCAUGCUUUGCACGUUACGAUCCGAGCAAUUAGAUUAUGCACACAUUACGUAAAUGUGUAGGCCACCAAAUUCUAAAGUAACGCACCACCUCUUUGCCAUCUCCCUCGUCUAAUUUUUUAUCUGUGUACAUUCCAUGCUCGCCUAUCCGAUGGAAGAAAAUUUCCGCUCAGACUAAAGAAAAAAAAAAAAGCUUCGGUUCUCAUUUCGCAAAUGAAAUAUUGCUAGGAGAUGUAAAAUCGCAGUUUCAGCAAACGAAAAGCAAAGUCGGAAAAAAUAUACUCGAGGUGUGAUUUUUGAAGCGUGAAAAAAACGCAAGGGUGGCUACGAGCUAACACAUAUACAUAUGUACAACUCACAAACGUACGGGAAAAAGCGGGUAUACCUUUUCUUUACAACCCGUUUUUAAAGACGGCCAUUAGAGAGAACGACAGCGCGGGACGGAACGUGAUGCGAAGGGCUGUUGCCGCGUUUUAAUCUAUUUUAAUUUGAGCGAUAUUAGUUUUAAUUAAGGCGCACAAUUAACGCGGAACACGUCGUCGGCUCGUAGCACGACGCCGCGCCAUAAGCGUGACGAAGACAACCCCGGCUUUAAAAGCUUUGAGAGACGAGUGGAUUGCAGGUAGAGUGUAAAUACUGAUACAUUGCGUAUAUUCGUUAGGAGAUACGUCGCGACAGUUUUAAAGGAUUCUCUAUACAUGCGCGUGCAUUAUUUGAUACUCGUCUAUUAAAGUAUUUCAGAGAGAAAUUUGUGCACAAAUUAUUAUCAAAUACAAAAUGACAAAUUGGUUGCAACGAAAAGCAUGUCGAGUGUCUUCAAUGAAAUUGAUUUGAUAUCUUGAUUAUAUUAUUACGCGAGGGAUCCAACAUAGGAAAGUUUUAAAAAAUUAUGAAUGCAUAAUAUCUAAGUAAAGAUAUAAAUAUUUAAAUAUACAGAAUAUAUAUUUUAUAAAAAUAAAAUAUAUAUUUUAUUUUAUUGUAUCAUAAGAUGUGUAACUAAUUCUCAUUCUAUUAAUUUUCGUGUGGAAAACUUCAUACGCACCUAUCAUUUUUCGCGUCUUUUUUUUUAUUUUAAUAAACUAUUCCUAUUUGUAUUUCACUCGGACAGUAGAUUUUAGUUUAUUUAUUUCUUUGCAUUUUUCAAGCGCAAUUUAACAAUAACAUCGAACUCGUUCUAGAGUUUCCAUCUUUUUCCGUCUUUCUCCCCGGGCAUCCCUCUCUCUCUCUCUCUCUCUCUCUCUCUCUCUCUCUCUCUCUCUCUCUCUCUCUCUCUCUCUCCCCAAGUUUUCCCUCUCUGUUUCUUGUAUCCCGCACUCACGUUAUUGGAUCAAUACACGGGGUUCCAAUUAAUCCACGGGGGGUAUUCCCCUCGACAGAUGGCCAACAGAAAACACUAUAGCCUGCCAUACCGACCCUCUCAAUCCACAUCAUCAUCUUACGCACUUAUCCAAUGCACAUUUAUUCCAGAAAUGCCUUCGCGUUGAGAAUUUAAAUGUAAAAAUGUACGCACGGUAACUAGGUGCACGAUUAUUAUGUGUAUUAUUAUUUAUAUAUUAUUUAUUUUAUCAAACGAUAUGAGCUAAUCAAUAGAGAAUGGAACUUUAAAAGUGCUUCGACGAGCAAAAUAAAAUAUUGCGGAAUCACAUCAAUGUUAUGUUAAUGUUUCUAACUUAAUGUAAUAAUUUAUUGUUCAAUGCUUCUCUUUCUAUUUCUUUAAUCUGAUUCAGGCUAUUUUUAUAAAAACUUUUUAUCGCGUGUUGUACAUUUCACACGAUAAAAUAAAGACAAUAAAGAAAUAAAUUUACAAACAAAUAUAUAAACCGCAUACAUUGUUCUUUGAAAAGGUUGAAUUACAAAGAUCAUUUUAAAAACAUUAAAAAAAACAUUUAAAAAUUGAUCACGUUUUUCUAUCUAUUUGCGAUAGUACUGAUUUGUUUUUACGAGAUUAAAAUUUGAAACAGAGCACUAGGUACGUGCUAUAAAAUCUGCAUGUGAGCAUAAGUUUUUUUUUACAACCAUUUACGAGCGACUGCUGCGAAUGGAAAUCGUGAAAAUGUUUUUGUUCUUUUUCAACCGAGAUUGGGAACCCUGCUAAUGGCAUCAUUAAGCCGAUCGAUGAGAGGCGAUUUUCAUCUGCGGUCACGCGGAUUCUUUGUCGUUUCGGCACCCCCCUCUUAUCUAGGGCAAACCCAUAAUAAUUCUUUUUCUUCUAGCCUUUCUUCUAGCCGUAUUCAUCAUCGGCAGUCUAAUCACACCAUCUUCAUUGUGCUUCCUUUCAGUGAAAUUCGCAUAUAAGCAGAGGGUUUAUUUUCUUUCUCACAUUUCUUAUAGGGCCAAGACACUUUUUUCAAAUAAUUUCCAGACUAAUCACAAAUCACCUUUCCAGCGCAAAUCUCGCGAGAUCGCUUUUCAUCUUAAUGCCCGCAAGUCUUCAUUACGCUGGCAUAUUAUUUUAAGAUUGAUAACCGCGAAAAGGGAAAGUCACUCCUUUUUUAAAUGACACGACACCGACCUACAUUUAUCGCGAUAUCACGCGUAUCCCUUAGAGGAUCAGUUGUAUCACAUGUCGCCACGCAGUUAAUGCGCGACCGCGCGGUUAUAUUAUCCAUUUCAUCCCGCCGCACGUGGGCGUGGCGGUGUUUGCAUUUAAUUAAUCAUCUUGGCGCGGCACAAUACCACCGUGCGAUUCUAUCGAUCCGUCGGCUGUCUCGAAAUCAUUUAUUAUACGGCAUUAUACACCCGGCUCGCUGUAGCGGAUAUUUACCGACGUAUUCUCACAUGGCUAAAUUUAAUUUGUCACGUGCGUAUUUAAACAGUAACUUCCGAACAAUUACGUUUAAAUUAACAUUUGACAAUUGAAAUAUGGAAUCAUUUGAAGAUAAUUUUAUUGUGAUACCGCAAUGCAUUUUCAAUGAUAAAAGUGACAAUUAUAUGCAUACUCUUCUGAAAUUGUAUAAUAUAUCAGUCAAUUUGUAAUAUCGUUAAAUAAAUAGUUAGAAUUUUUUAAUAAUUUCAUCAUUUUCCAUUAUCCCAUUAUUGAAGAAUGUAAUAUUUUAUAUAUACAAAUGUUACAAAUAUCUGAAAUUGUUACAAAUUUUAUAUAUACAAAUGUGACAAAUUUCUAAAAUAAAAUAUUAAUACAAAUUUUGAUACGUAGAAAAACCUCGUUGGAUCUUACUGACAAAUUAAUAUUUCGUAUUUUAGAAAUAAUUGCAUCUUAAUUGAUUGUAUCAUUGAAUCCAUAAAUGAUUAUUGCAACGAGCGGUUUGUGGUAAAAAAGGACGGACUCGUGUUAGUAUCCGAUAAAAACAAGGUGCUUUUAGGAUAUGCGAAAGAAACGCGCGCGACAAGAAACUGAUAAUGAAUUUAUCCAUAGUAGGUAAGGCUGCAGCCGGCAAAAAUAUAGCUUUUCCUACCUUACCGACACAAGCGUUUAUAUAUACCUAUGUACCGACGGAGUCAUGUCGAUAAAUACCGAAAGUUUAUUUUGAUGCCAUUCAUAUAUACACGCACACAUGACAAUAGCAACAUUAUGUUAAACAUUUUUCAUAUAUAAUAUAUACAUAUUGUACUAGGCACAUAUGUGUAUAAGAUACCAACAUUAUAUACAUGUGCGUGUACGCAUGACGAGAAGUGUGUGUCUUGUGUGUAAACGCAGUUUUUGAAUAUUAUUUUAUAAUUACAAAUUAAUCAAUUAAUCCUUGCGUUAUGUUCAAAUCUGUAAUUUCCAAUUAAUAUUUCACUUAAUUAUAAAUACGAUUAACAUAAAAAUUGAUAAUUUAUAUAUAUUACUAUAAAUGAAUAUUACACAUGGACAUAACUAAAAUCAUCUUAAAAGAAAACGGUACCGGAAACUACUAAUAAAUGUAUCAGAUAUAGGAAACAAACGCAGUAGAGGAAGAUUAAUACAAGUUAUUCGGAAUAGUUUCCAUCAAAGGAAAUUAAUAGCAGAUACCGUUGUGGGAAACAGUAAGCUACUGUAAGCUACCGAAUAAUCAUUCCACUAUUUCGGUUAUAUCGAUUCGGUCGGGCAUUCUUCGGCCGUUAUCAACGAGAGAAUUGCGAGAAUGCGAUUUGAUUAAGGCCGGGUUGGUUCAAAAGUCCGGAUUAAGUACAUCUGGUGAUUUAGCGAUUUCCAAUAUCACUUUAGGUCACGAAUGAAAAAAAAAAUUUCCCAAAUUGAUUCUACAGCACAGUUAUAUUAAUUAAACGCUAAAAUCAUCGUUAGUACCAUUCUUUUUCAAAAUCGAAAUGUAAUCGGCCGUAAGAAACCUACAAAGACGUCGUAAAUUAUAUCAUCUGUUCCGUCUUUUAAAAUUUUAAUCGUUGUAAUAAGAAUUAUAGUAGGAUAUAUUAUAUAUGCGAGUGUCGUCGAUAAUCCUUUCGGUAUAUUCGAAAAAUAAAUAUAAAUGUUAUUUAAAGGGAUAAUCUCUCUCUCAGGUGCUUUAAUUGGAUGUAAACAUUUUCUCUCGCGAUUGCAGAAUUAGUGAAGUCAUGUCGAAACAGAACAUGCGCUACACGCCACGCGGAUUAACGAAUAUGUGUUCGACUUUUCCGACAUAAACAAUAAAACUCAUAUUAAUUAACGCGGUCUGAUCAGGUUAGAAUCCAUCGAUCGUCGCGCUGACGCGUGUUUAUAACCAGGGAUGCCGUGUAUAUUGUGUAUAAAGGGAUUCUAGCGUAUCCUGACCCCUUGCGCUCCUGCUUAUUAUUAGCGAUAUUUUCUACAGAUAUUUACGUAAUUUCUUAGUAAACAACUUUCUCAGAUUAAAAUUAUCAUCAUUUAGAUAGCGGGGCAAUCACUUUGAAAAUGUGGUGAACGUCUGGUCACAUUACUUAUAAAUAAUAAGACAAAGAUUAACGACCCCAAACAAGCUGCUCACUCGUAAUAUAUGCAAUUGUCUCUUCGUUCAGCGUUCUAAUUUCUAAGUAAAGUUUGCUUUUUGUCCGUUAACUCAAAUAAACGUCUAAAAAGAAUCGAACGAAUUUCGCGAGAUCCCGUAACUGUUCACUAUUGGAGAGCUACAUGGAUGGACGACUGACAAAGGGAACGAUAAUUAAGUGUGUGUGUGUCUCUGCAAGAUCUCUCUCUUCGGUCGUGUGUAAAAAUUCAACCUAUUUAAACUACGCUAUUCUCGACGGACCAAAGGGAGAGAAAGACGGUGAAAGAAAGAUGAUUAAAACAUGAGAAAAAUAGAAAAGAGAGAGAGGACGUUAAAUCCACUCAAUAAAAUCAAACGAUGCGAAACAGAUGUUAAAGAGGAAGGAUAAUAAAAUACAUAUACGCUACUGUAUUACAUUAAUCUGUAAUGAUCAAUAGAGCUACUGUCGCAGUAAACAAAGUCCGGAGUCCAGUGAGAAAAAGAGAGGGAAAUAUAAAAGAAGAUAUAUACGGCAACAAACGCUACAAUUGUUGACCACUUGUCGCUCGCUGAUGCUUUUACUGACCUACCCGAUGACACCCUCUCGGCCGAUCGGCGGCGAGUAGUGAUACGUGUACUCGCGUACCGCCGGCAUCGUCCUCUUCUCGUCGUAACUCGUCUCUCGUGGCGACGACGAUUACAUGGUGGCUCGCGAUCUUUCUAUCGCGCGCAGCGUAAUCGUCCGACGGAGCGCACGAAAAUUGCUCUCAUUCUCUUAUAAUGAGAACGCAACAUGGGGGAGAAAGAGGGAGGGGAGGGGGAGGAGGAUACGCGUCUUCGCAUCUGCUUAAUCGUGGAUCUUCUUGUCGAACGUGUUCGCGCCUUAUCACGCCGAUCUACGGCAGCGCCUCUCCCUUCUUUUAUUUAAAUCCCGCGCACGAGCACCUCCUGCCAGGUCGUUCCGUACGUGUCGAGGAGAUUCGAACUUCGCCUCCCCUUUCCCCCCGCGUGCCCCCCUUUUCUUUUGUAGUCCGAUAGAAGCGAAGUGUGUAAGUCAAGAAAGAGGGGGAGGGAGGAAGAAAAGAAGUGGGAACGAGAGAUAGAUAGAUAGAGAUAGAGGGAGAGAGAGAGAAAAAGAAACAUAUAAAACGAAAAGGAGAAGGGAAGAGAAGGUCCUUGCGCCAACCCUUCAGCAGGGCGUGGAGGAAAGAAACGAGUCACGCACGAACACCUUCUAGGUGUCUCCCUCUCUCGUCCUUAUACAAUGGGCUUUGUUCGAGCUCUCUCCCCGACCCCCUAAAUCAGGAUCCAAAUAGAAAAUCAUUUUUUAUACCCGUUGCUGCGAGUCCGAAAACUGCUAAUUGUUCCGUGCUCCGUAAUUAUGCCACAUGGAUUCGUAUGUCGCCGAGGGAACAAUUUGAUUUCUGCGGGGGAGGUACAGUUAAACGCUCAUAAACAUGCAAGGGGUUAUCUCGAUAAUAACCACGCUUUGAUCCCCUCCGUGGAAACGGUGAGGCAUUUAAAUAUGAACACCUGCGUAUCGCCGUUGUUUAUAAAUAUAAAUGUUUAUAAAAAGCCGCUUAGAAAAACAUUACACAGUGCUCAGAGAGAUAAUUAUAAUCGCAAGAAGAAA